GCUGCAACAAACGUUGAAUGUAAGUAAUUUUUAUGCUUUUUUUCGAAUUUUCUUAUUUACUUUUUGCACAAUUUUUUAAUCAAUCUAAUUUAUAUUACCUUAUCAUUUUUUCUCCUUUCAGCGUGGAAUGGUGAAAGACGUUGUUUAAAAGAUUCAGAUUGUAUAAAUAAGUGUAGAAAACCAACUAUAAUUAAGUGUGUAGAUCGUUAUUGUAAAUGUAUACCUGUAUUUCAACCCCAAUCCUAGAGUACCCAAUUUCACUAAAACAAUUUUUCUAUCACUUAAUUAUUAUGUUUGUAUUAGCACAUUAUAGUUUUAUUUUUCCUUCUAUAUCUAAUAUCAAGAUUGGUAUUUUGAA
rnacentral:lncRNA from 1 species